CAGGAUUACUUUCCAACCACAAAUCCUAAAUGAAGCCCUAAUUCCUCUGGAUCGGGUAGUUUGACAGCUUCAUGUUCUUCUUCAGCAUCCAUCAUCAUCGAUAUGUUUGGUUAACGCAACGGAAUCUUAGUUCGAUGACGUUUCUUAUGUGGCAGUAUCUUCAUGUAUGUGUGGCAUUAGAGAUUUUGAACAAGAAAAGGCUGCUGAUGGUCAGUCGGCACCUUCACGCGUAUGUAAUCACGGUUGAAGCAUUUCUUUGGGUUCAAGCAAACUUCAAACUCUGCAAGAUAUGUACAGGUCGUUGAUGUUGAGGUAGGCACACUUAGUGCUCGACGAUGCCCCCAACGUAUGUCUGCUCUUCUUGAGAAAUGGAGGAUUCUCUAUAUGUUACAGAUGAAGCGUUUCUUUAGGUUCAAGCAAACUUCAAGCUAUGCAAGAUGUACAUUGUGUUGACCCUGUAAGUGGGAGGUUUUACUAAUUUUAUUAAAUCUGGAGAAGUGUGGAUUGACUGUUGUGUAAAUACUUCCUCUCCAUACGGCUUUUAUGAGUUUUCCUUAAAUGAUGUUGCUGGAUAUUUACAGAAACCAACAGAUAUUUCAUUUAUCUUGCAUCGUGUUGAGCAAGGCAGAUGCAAUUUUUACUGUUUUUUCUAGCUGCUGUUUCAUUUUGUUUUGAUGUUGAAUUAAGUGGGUCUUCGUUCAACCUGUAGAAUGCAUUAUAGGUAACUUAUUCUGUGACAAUGACUGUGUGUAGUCUAGGGUUCUAUCUUUUUUUGUUUAAUGUUUUCAUGAGUUAUAUUUUCUAUAGCUUUUCAUUUGUUGGUCAAAUAUGUGAGGUCAUUGUCAGCACAAAAGGUAUGUCAUACAAUAAAUGAGAGUUUCUUAAUGAAUGAAAUAUGUUUAGUUUAAUUAAAUAAAAGUUGAUCACUUAUUAAUGAGUAAUAAAAUAAUGAAUGAUGAAAUAAUGAAUUGAUUAACAAAAUACUCCUUUUCAGUUGCUUGUUCAAUGGGGUUUGAUAUGUUUCUUUCUGGAGACUAUUCAAGAAAUCAUUCGCCUUUCACACGUAAAUGACGAGUUCAUUUGCUGUUUCAGUGGCUUUGAUGAUUUCCUGGACUUAUGCGAGUACAAUCUCUCUACUAACCAGCAUUUUGUUUCACUUGAUCUGCAACUUGCAAGUUAUCCACUUCAAUGAUAAUGGGAAGCUCAUACAAAGGGAUGCUAAUGUGCUCAUUUUCAUGGAGGAGCACAUUCGGUUACGCUAUCAGAUGGUAGACUAUUCUGGUGAGGGUUUUUAGGAGAUGGUUUGUAUAUUCCAAGGGAGCUCCAAAAGAAUUGUAUUGUAUCUCCAUGGUGCUGAUGGACUCUAAGGGACAUAAGAUGCAGGCAAAUGUGAUGCCCAGGAGUUUGCAUGACAAAUAUUCUGAAUCCCUUGAGGAAGGAAAGAUAUAUUUAAUAGCCAACAUUGAAGUCACAAAGAAUGAAGGGCAAUACAAACCAACAAGGCAUCCUUAUAAAAUCUCAUUCAAUCAGUUUACCUAUGUGCAAGAACAAGAUGGCAAUAUUCCAUUAUAUUCAUAUGAUUUCUUCCCUGUUGUUGACAUACUUAAGGUUGAUCCGAAGAAGCUAAUAGGGUACUUAGUGGAUGUUAUAGCUUUUGUGAACUCGGUGGGAAACUUAGAAGAAUAUAGGAGGGACAAUGAGACAAAGCAUAAGAUUUGCAUGUGAUAGGGAAGUUGAGUGUGUCCUGUAUGAGCAAUGCUCGAAGGAUGCUUACUUGGCUCAUGUCCACACUAUAGAUUCCCCUGUGGUUAUGCUCCUUAGUUAUGCCAAGAUUGGGUUUUCUGAGGAUGGUAGACCUCAGGUUUCUAACUCUUUCAGCGUAACCAGAAUUUUUUUUAAGCCUCCUAUUAAAGAGGUGGCAGACCUUCUUGCUAGUGCUAAGGGCAAAUCAUCACCUAUUAGUGUUUUAUCCAGUUAGCUUAUGCCUUCAAGUCAAGCAUCUGCAUCAACCAUAUCUCGCAAGGAUAAUAAGAUUUUGAUAUGCAAUAUUCCAAACCAGAAAAUUGUCUGUCUUGCCAUUAGAAUGCAUUGCAUUUUAUUCUAAUAUGGAUAUUAUAAUCUGAAUCAUUCUAUGUUAAUAGGGUGAAUACUUUGUGAUCAGCUGCACUGUGUUGAAGCAUGAAACACGAUAUGGAUGGACCUAUGAUGGGUGUGCUAAGUGUGCAACAAAACCAACAGAUAGUAAUGGCAUCCUUUUAUGCUCUGGGUGUUAAAGGUGCAUUACACUGUUAUGGAUGACUCUGGGAGUGCUUCUGUUGUUUUUUGGGAUAACCUUACUGUUCAAUUGGUCGAGAAGACUGCUGCAGAGUUAAACGUCAUUGUGGACAAUAACAAAAACCUAUAUGGGAUUCCAAAAGAACUGGAAAAUUUAAUUGGGAAGAAGAUGAUGCUUAAGAUGAAGCUGAAUGAUUAUAAUGCUAGGCAUUCAAGCUCAAGUAUUAGUGUGUCUAGCUACACAAUUUGUGAAGAUUUGAUUGAACAGUUUAUGCAAGCUUCAAAUGAGGAUGAAUUGAUUGGAUCCAUCAAUGCUAAGAAGGAUGGAAACUCUGUUUUUGAUUUCCCUAACCAAGAGGGUAAUGGUGAUGGUGAGAAGGUUGAGAACCUCAAUCCGCCUUCUACUUAGUACAUACCACCCAGUGUUGAUUUAACUAUUUAUGAAACUUCACCUUCAAUACCUAUACCAGCAUCCAAAGGGAAACGUAGGGUUCUUGGAAAACGGAAUGCUACCUCUAGUGAGUCGAUAAUUGCAACACCUUUUAUUAGAAAUUCUGGAGAGCACAGGAACAUGAAGGUUAUUAAACAAGAGAAGUAGAGAAAGUGAUCUUACUGCUAGACGUUUGUUAUUUUCAAUAUUUUGAAGCCUUUAAUGUGUUGUGUUGUGUUUUUAUGUUGAGUUCAAGCUUUCUUAGUUCUUAGUUUAUGUAUCUUUUCUUCAAUCAAUUUAAGAUGUUUUCCAAUUUUAAUGAAGAGUAUUAUUGCUUUUAA